UAAGCUUGAAGAGGCCUUGACAGCUAAGGAAAGCUUCUGUUGCGGGAAAGUCCCUACUUUUAAAUAUGCUUACCUGGGAAAAUAUUGUCCAACAAAGAACAUCCUAUUUUGCAGGAUGUAUUAGUCAUGUGGCAAGGACACAGCCUGUCCCUGAUCUGAAACAAGCCUGGAAUACAGCAAACCUCCGGAUCAACAAAAUAAAGUUCACAAAAGAAACAGUUAAACAUUCUGACUGGCUUCCCUCUGUCACAGAAAAUGCUAAACACAUUUAUCUCGAAGUGCUUCACUAAGG